rnacentral:rRNA from 1 species
GUAGAGGGGGGUAGAAUUCCAGGUGUAGCGGUGAAAUGCGUAGAGAUCUGGAGGAAUACCGGUGGCGAAGGCGGCCCCCUGGACGAAGACUGACGCUCAGGUGCGAAAGCGUGGGGAGCAAACAGGAUUAGAUACCCUGGUAGUCCACGCCGUAAACGAUGUCGACUUGGAGGUUGUGCCCUUGAGGCGUGGCUUCCGGAGCUAACGCGUUAAGUCGACCGCCUGGGGAGUACGGCCGCAAGGUUAAAACUCAAAUGAAUUGACGGGGGCCCGCACAAGCGGUGGAGCAUGUGGUUUAAUUCGAUGCAACGCGAAGAACCUUACCUGGUCUUGACAUCCACGGAAGUUUUCAGAGAUGAGAAUGUGCCUUCGGGAACCGUGAGACAGGUGCUGCAUGGCUGUCGUCAGCUCGUGUUGUGAAAUGUUGGGUUAAGUCCCGCAACGAGCGCAACCCUUAUCCUUUGUUGCCAGCGGUCCGGCCGGGAACUCAAAGGAGACUGCCGGUGAUAAACUGGAGGAAGGUGGGGAUGACGUCAAGUCAUCAUGGCCCUUACGACCAGGGCUACACACGUGCUACAAUGGCGCAUACAAAGAGAAGCGACCUCGCGAGAGCAAGCGGACCUCAUAAAGUGCGUCGUAGUCCGGAUUGGAGUCUGCAACUCGACUCCAUGAAGUCGGAAUCGCUAGUAAUCGUGGAUCAGAAUGCCACGGUGAAUACGUUCCCGGGCCUUGUACACACCGCCCGUCACACCAUGGGAGUGGGUUGCAAAAGAAGUAGGUAGCUUAACCUUCGGGAGGGCGCUUACCACUUUGUGAUUCAUGACUGGGGUGAAGUCGUAACAAGGUAACCGUAGGGGAACCUGCGGUUGGAUCACCUCCUUACCUUAAAGAA